ACGUGCCAGCAGCCGCGGUAAUACGUAGGGUGCAAGCGUUAUCCGGAAUUAUUGGGCGUAAAGGGCUCGUAGGCGGUUCGUCGCGUCCGGUGUGAAAGUCCAUCGCUUAACGGUGGAUCCGCGCCGGGUACGGGCGGGCUUGAGUGCGGUAGGGGAGACUGGAAUUCCCGGUGUAACGGUGGAAUGUGUAGAUAUCGGGAAGAACACCAAUGGCGAAGGCAGGUCUCUGGGCCGUCACUGACGCUGAGGAGCGAAAGCGUGGGGAGCGAACAGGAUUAGAUACCCUGGUAGUCCACGCCGUAAACGGUGGAUGCUGGAUGUGGGGACCAUUCCACGGUCUCCGUGUCGGAGCCAACGCGUUAAGCAUCCCGCCUGGGGAGUACGGCCGCAAGGCUAAAACUCAAAGAAAUUGACGGGGGCCCGCACAAGCGGCGGAGCAUGCGGAUUAAUUCGAUGCAACGCGAAGAACCUUACCUGGGCUUGACAUGUUCCCGACAGCCGUAGAGAUACGGUCUCCCUUCGGGGCGGGUUCACAGGUGGUGCAUGGUCGUCGUCAGCUCGUGUCGUGAGAUGUUGGGUUAAGUCCCGCAACGAGCGCAACCCUCGCCCUGUGUUGCCAGCGGGUUAUGCCGGGAACUCACGGGGGACCGCCGGGGUUAACUCGGAGGAAGGUGGGGAUGACGUCAGAUCAUCAUGCCCCUUACGUCCAGGGCUUCACGCAUGCUACAAUGGCCGGUACAACGCGGUGCGACACGGUGACGUGGGGCGGAUCGCUGAAAACCGGUCUCAGUUCGGAUCGCAGUCUGCAACUCGACUGCGUGAAGGCGGAGUCGCUAGUAAUCGCGGAUCAGCAACGCCGCGGUGAAUGCGUUCCCGGGCCUUGUACACACCGCCCGUCAAGUCAUGAAAGUGGGUAGCACCCGAAGCCGGUGGCCCAACCUUUUGGGGGGAGCCGUCUAAGGUGAGACUCGUGAUUGGGACUAAGUCGUAACAAGGUAGCCGUACCGGAAGGUGCGGCUG
rnacentral:rRNA from 1 species